rnacentral:rRNA from 1 species
ACGUACACUCCUGCGGGAGGCAGCAGUGGGGAAUAUUGGACAAUGGGCGAAAGCCUGAUCCAGCAAUGCCGCGUGAGUGAUGAAGGCCUUAGGGUUGUAAAGCUCUUUUACCCGGGAUGAUAAUGACAGUACCGGGAGAAUAAGCCCCGGCUAACUCCGUGCCAGCAGCCGCGGUAAUACGGAGGGGGCUAGCGUUGUUCGGAAUUACUGGGCGUAAAGCGCGCGUAGGCGGCUUUGUAAGUUAGAGGUGAAAGCCCGGAGCUCAACUUCGGAAUUGCCUUUAAGACUGCAUCGCUAGAAUCGUGGAGAGGUGAGUGGAAUUCCGAGUGUAGGGGUGAAAUUCGUAGAUAUUCGGAAGAACACCAGUGGCGAAGGCGACUCACUGGACACGUAUUGACGCUGAGGUGCGAAAGCGUGGGGAGCAAACAGGAUUAGAUACCCGGUAGUCCCAUG